GUCAUUAGGUAAUCGAGCGUGAAAACGUUAGGAAAGUCCAUGCUAGCACAAACUGAGAUGUUUGUAGUGAUUGUGCUAAACGAACAAAUAAGUUUAGGCACCAUUUGGUGACGGCGAAGAAAAGGAUUAACGGCCUGAGUAUUCUUAAAGUGCCACAGUGACGAAUCAUAGAGAAUAUCUAUGGGUGAAACGGGUAAACCCCUCAAGCUAGAAACCCAAAUUUUGGUAGGGGCAUGACUGUGCAAGAAAUGAAUUGACACAGUUGGCGGGAAACCGGAGAUAAAUGAUUACCACGCUUUUUAGCGACAGAACAUGGCUUAUAAAU
rnacentral:RNase_P_RNA from 1 species